GAUGAACGCUGGCGGCGUGCCUAAUACAUGCAAGUCGAGCGGACGGACGAGAAGCUUGCUUUUCUGAUGUUAGCGGCGGACGGGUGAGUAACACGUGGAUAACCUACCUAUAAGACUGGGAUAACUUCGGGAAACCGGAGCUAAUACCGGAUAAUAUUUUGAACCGCAUGGUUCAAAAGUGAAAGACGGUCUUGCUGUCACUUAUAGAUGGAUCCGCGCUGCAUUAGCUAGUUGGUAAGGUAACGGCUUACCAAGGCAACGAUGCAUAGCCGACCUGAGAGGGUGAUCGGCCAAACUGGAACUGAGACACGGUCCAGACUCCUACGGGAGGCAGCAGUAGGGAAUCUUCCGCAAUGGGCGAAAGCCUGACGGAGCAACGCCGCGUGAGUGAUGAAGGUCUUCGGAUCGUAAAACUCUGUUAUUAGGGAAGAACAUAUGUGUAAGUAACUGUGCACAUCUUGACGGUACCUAAUCAGAAAGCCACGGCUAACUACGUG
rnacentral:rRNA from 1 species